AUUAUUGUGGGAAUGUGGACUAGUUUAUGUUUUAUGUAGAUCGCGGACUUGUCCGAUUAUGCAAAUUAGUUCGCUACGCGUGUUGCACAUGAUUUUGCGGAUGAAUGAUUUAUUGUGUGAUACGCCGCCCACGUUAAUGUGUUAACAUACAUGUUAGUAUUGAAUCACAUUCAUGUCACGUUCAAUUGCGGAGAGGACGUUGUUGCUGUGCCUGUAGCUGUGUAUUACAGAGUCACGCGGUUUCCUUGUUUUAGCGAGGGUUUUGGUUCAACUGUUUGGCAGUAUUUUCGAGGGCAAGAUCAGGACUUGCAUGUUGCAGCUUCUGUUGCUGAGCUGAGCUGAGUUGAUUGCUGGUAGUUUCUUGGUGUCUCCCUUUUCCCCUUCACUUCCUUCUCCACUGUAGUUGAGAGCUUCAGUGGUUUAUUGCUGAAGACUUUGGGUAUGUUUUAAUGAUAUUCUGGUAAAGUUUGCAACAGACUUUGUGUAACUUUACUCAGUCUAAUAUUGCAGUGUGUUUAACAAUUUAUAUGUAUAUUGAUGUUAUGGGACAAUUUUAUAUUUGUUCCAUCGUAUUAUAAAUACUUACAGAUAAGUACAUGUAUUCUUGUUUGUCUGAUGCAAGUAUGAUGCUCUGAUUACUGUUUGAGAUUCUUACAGCUGAUUUGAUGUUUAGAUAUAAUUAUGUCAUUCCAGUUAAUGAUUAUAAUAUUUGAUUUCAGUGAUUUUACAAGAGAAUCAAGAUGAAACAGAUUUGAUUUGGAGAUCAAGUUGUAAUUACUUAAUAUGACAUUUAAUCAA